CUGCGUAGGAUCAUUG
rnacentral:rRNA from 1 species